rnacentral:rRNA from 1 species
UACGUAGGGUGCGAGCGUUAAUCGGAAUUACUGGGCGUAAAGCGCACGUAGGCGGAUUUGUAAGUCAGGGGUGAAAUCCCGGGGCUCAACCUCGGAACUGCCUUUGAUACUGCAAGUCUUGAGUCCGGAAGAGGUGAGUGGAAUUCCUAGUGUAGAGGUGAAAUUCGUAGAUAUUAGGAAGAACACCAGUGGCGAAGGCGGCUCACUGGUCCGGUACUGACGCUGAGGUGCGAAAGCGUGGGGAGCAAACAGG